rnacentral:rRNA from 1 species
CCUACGGGGGGCAGCAGUGGGGAAUAUUGCACAAUGGGGGAAACCCUGAUGCAGCGACGCCGCGUGAGUGAAGAAGCGCCUCGGCGUGUAAAGCUCUGUCAGUAGGAACGAUAAUGACGGUACCUGAAGAAGAAGCACCGGCUAACUACGUGCCAGCAGCCGCGGUAAUACGGAGGGGGCAAGCGUUAUCCGGAUUCACUGGGCGUAAAGGGAGCGUAGACGGCGGGGCAAGUCUGGAGUGAAAGGCCGGGGCUCAACCACGGGACCGCAUUGGAAACUGGCCGGCUGGAGUGUGGGAGAGGUAAGCGGAAUUCCUGGUGUAGCGGUGAAAUGCGUAGAGAUUAAGAGGAAUAC